AGGAAUAUCGCACAAUGGGCGAAAGCCUGAUGCAGCGACGCCGCGUGGGUGAUGAAGGUUUUCGGAUCGUAAAGCCCUUUUCUGCAUGACGAGACAGGACGGUAGUGCAGGAAGAAGGGUCGGCUAACUACGUGCCAGCAGCCGCGGUAAAACGUAGGACACAAGCGUUAUCCGGAAUUACUGGGCGUAAAGGGCGUGCAGGCGGUUGCGUAAGUUAGGCGUGAAAGACUUCGGCUAAACCGGGGGAGGUCGUCUGAUACUGCGCAACUAGAGGAUGGUAGAGGCGUGUAGAAUUCCGGGUGUAGUGGUGAAAUGCGUAGAGAUCCGGAGGAAUACCAGUGGCGAAGGCGGCACGCUGGGCCAUUACUGACGCUAAAACGCGAAAGCAUGGGUAGCGAA
rnacentral:rRNA from 1 species